AAUAAGAAUACAAAAAUUGUAAUUUAAUUUCGACUUAAAUUUUGAAUAUAAUAAUUAUUCCUUAUUU
rnacentral:tRNA from 1 species